UGCCAGCCGCCGCGGUAAUACGGAGGGGGUUAGCGUUGUUCGGAAUUACUGGGCGUAAAGCGCACGUAGGCGGCAAUGUAAGUUGGGGGUGAAAUCCCGGGGCUCAACCCCGGAACUGCCUCCAAAACUACAUAGCUAGAGGAUGUGAGAGGACAGUGGAAUUCCUAGUGCAGAGGUGAAAUUCGUAGAUAUUGGGAAGAACACCAGUGGCGAAGGCGGCUAACUGGCUCGGUACUGACGCUGAGAUGCGAAAGCGUGGGGAGCAAACAGGAUUAGAUA
rnacentral:rRNA from 1 species